UAUCAUUGACGAGAUUGUGCAAAUAAUUAACCUAUCGAUCACAAGCAAUGUUCUUUGAUAAGAAGCAAACAUCCAAUAUUAUAGAGCUGCAGCUUUCUAGCUCUACAUUUACAAUACAAUUAUUCCGGGCUGCUGGGAGCAUUGACUUGCACUAUCUAAGGUUCUUACGCACUUCCCAAACCAGUUAAGUGCUGCUAGGUGUAGCUUCUUUUAUAUUCUCCUGUUCUGAGUUGACCUCCACCCUUG
rnacentral:misc_RNA from 1 species